UCCAUGGCCAUGCUAACCUCAGGAAACCCUGGCUGCUAAUUCAUUGCAGGAGCAGAGCCACAUGAAUCAGAGCAGUUGGGUGGGACAGAGGGAAGCAGGCUGAGUGCCACUGGGACUGCCAGUGCUAUGGCAAGGCACCCCAGGGCUUCCUUAAGGUCCUGGGUGAUGUUUUUUGCUGAGAAUGGACUCACAGGGCUUUGUCUUCAAGCAAAUGCAUCCAUUGUGGCUGGGAGCACAGCCAAGGUGCUGUGGGAAAGCAAAGGAGUUUGAAAUAUGUGCUGAUUUCUUAUUUGUGGUUCCAGAAAAACAACUUGGAAGAUUAAGGGAGUGCCUUGUAGACGGUAUAAUUUCACCCACCCCUGCAGUAGCAUAUGGCUUCUGUCAGGAGAGCAGAGGUGAACCUCCUUUUCCAGCAGCAUUGCAG